rnacentral:lncRNA from 1 species
UUUCUUCCUUGCUUGCCAGAUGCAGGGCUCAGUCUCUAAACCACAGCAAGGAUGACUCAUAGCAGUCACUCUGCAUUUCUCUCUCCUCCUUUUUCCUGCCCAAAUAACAGGAAGCCCUUUGGAUCAAAUUGAAUUUCGCAGUCCAGAAGCUCCAAGAAAAGCAAAAGCCACAGAAAGUCCCCCAACAGUUUCUGCUGCUGACCUGCUGGGUUUAUGGCCCCAGGUAGCCAAACACUUCAAGCUAUUCAUUUUAUAAUAUAUCACUGACAGCUUGGAAGCGAGGACAAAACUUAAAAGUUGUGAAGCUCGAGAGAUGAAAAGAGAGCGGCGAAGAUGAAAUGGAUGGAACUUCCCUAAAAAUGUUUUUGAAGAUGGGUGUAUUUGAUAUAUGCCUACAACAAGACAAGAUGUCAGAAACAUAUUCUGGGAUAAGAAGAAACGGAGGCAAAGUUUGGAGAGUCAAAAUGGAAUUCCAAUGGAAUGAUUUAUCCAUAGGUAAUUUUUUUUCUUUUAUUUUCUUAAUUGCAAAUUUGAGCUACCUUCAGCAGGGGCAAGCAUAUGGAUUUCUCUUGACUGCAAAAAUUUCAGCACUGCUCCCUCCCUGGCACUUCAGUUGUCUCAAAGAUUUUCAGGAGCCCAUUUGUCACUACACUGGGUGAUGACAGACCAAACCUAUUUGUCACUGUGAGUGACAAAUAAUGUGCACCACGAGGGAUUUCUU